AUCUUCUUCUUCUUCUUCUCUUUAUUUUUUAUUUUUUGAUACCUCAAUAUUAUAGUAAAGAGGAAUGCUAGCAACACUUUCUUCAUACACUUCCCUAAUUAUUAAUUCAAAUCUGAUCAUAUGUAACCUUUAACCUAUUCCACAGUUUACAUAAUUUUUUUAAAGAAAAUUCUAAAUUUAUUUAUAAUUUAUAAUUCUUUUAUUUGUUACAUUAAUUUAAAUUCCUUAAAUAAAUUUAAGGUUUUCUAUUCAGUUAAUCAAUCACUGUUGUUUAUCCUCACAUGAUCUAAUUAAAAAAAUUAAUAGCAAACUCUAUUUAACCUGUAGAAUAAGUUUCCAAUUACAUGGAAUAAGAUUUAAACAAAUAAUAGAGAAAUUGUUUCAAAGAGUGUAUGAGAAAGUAUUGCUAAAAUUCCUGGUAUGGUAAAAUUUAAUUUCUUUUCAAUGGAUAAAAAGUAAGAGGAAAGCCAAUCCUAUAAACUUAUGGCCCUUAAAGCAUUUAAGUUUCUUGGUUAUCAUACUUCAUCCAUUUGAUCGAUGUUGUAUCACUUCCAAUCUUCUCAUAUUUUAAAAUAUGUAGUCAACUAGAACCUUAUGGAGCUACUAAUUACCCUUAACAGGGUUUUCUUUGAUUUGGAAGGCCACAACUUUUAUAGAUUCUUCAAGGAAACUUUAGAUUUGAAUGUUGGAAAAAAGAUUUGAGAAGCUUGAAUGAAAUUUCCCGCCUUGCAUCGCGAACUGCGAAUGUUUCAAAAAAAUAGCACAACUCGCCUAUUGAUUCACACAGCCAAGCAGAUUAUAAUAUCUUAUAGCACCAUUCUCGCCAUUCAAUUCACUUGGAUCUAUAAAUUGAACGGUGGAAAAUUGGUAUUCACCAUUAAUAAAUUUGUAUUUACCUCUUAAAAAGAAAAAAAAAAUUAAAAGGAGGAAUUCUAACGACAUAACCAUACCAUCAACUACAUUAUUCCAUUGUACUAGUAAUCAAUUUCCCUAAUCUGUUAAUAUCGCGAACAGAACCUAAAACCAGAUCCAAUAGCUAAAUUGAACAAAAAAAAUCGCAAUAAUCUAAAUAAUUAAACUCUAAUAAACUAUUAAAUAAAAAAAAACACUCUAAUCAACUAAUUAUUAAGCCCUCGUUUAACAAAGAGAAAAAAGUAUAUCGACUAAAAAUCAAAAGCUUGAAGAG
rnacentral:misc_RNA from 1 species